rnacentral:rRNA from 1 species
UUAGAUACCCUAUUAUACUAAGAAGGCCCUGAAUUAUUGUUAGAUAUGUUCUUUAAAUUUAAAGAAUUUGGCGGUGAUUUAGUCUUGUUAGAGGAACCUGUUUUUGAAUCGAUAAACCACGGAGUAUCUUUCUUAUUUUUGUAUGUCAGUUUAUAUACCGUCAUUAUUAGAUAAUUUUAAAAAGAAAAAAUUAUUGGAAUUUUAAUAAAAUAGAAAAUGAAAUUAGAUCAAGGUGUAGCUAAUAAGUAAGUUAAAAUGGGUUACAAUAAAAUUUAUAUAUAUACGGAAGUAAUAAUUUAAAAUGUUAUUAAAGGUGGAUUUAAUUGUAAUGAGAGUUUAAUAUGCUCUUAAGGCAUAAGCUCUAGAUCAUGUACAUAUCGCCCGUCGCUA